UACGUUCACAUCACGUAGAAAGACCUAUUCUCGUACGAUCACCGAAGUUAAGCAACCCCGAGCCUGGUUAGUAACGAGAUGUGUGACAGCAUUGGAAUAUCAGGUAUUGUAA